rnacentral:ncRNA from 2 species
UCCGUUCCUUAGGGGUGGUCUUUUAACCUGAGACUCUGCAAGUCAGAGAACCCUAGAACCUGAUCCGGUUAAUACCGGCGUAGGAAAAGGAUGAAAACCACAU